rnacentral:lncRNA from 1 species
ACUUUACUAGAUCAACCAUUUACAUGCAUCAAUAUAUCAUUUUUAUUGGUGUUGGCACUUUUCGGUCCCACUUGGGUCUGCACUAUUCGAGUUUUAGUGGCAAUGAAGUGGAUGUGCGUGGGUGUGCAACCAGAGUUUGAUUAGCCGGAAAAAUGAUAAUGGGGAUCGAAGAGAUGAUAAUAGGUAUCUUGAUUUUCAAGAACUUUCGUCACC